UGGAAUGUAGACACGAAACAGGUAUCGA
rnacentral:piRNA from 1 species